AUAUAAGUCAGCUAAUUAAGCUAAUGAGUUCAUACCUCAUAAAUGAUUAUAUAGUUUCUCCUUCUAUA
rnacentral:tRNA from 1 species